CUGGAGUCCGCGCGCGACUUGUUGUGGCUUUUGCUUGUCCCGGUGCCGCUGAGCUCGCCGCGGCCGCUGCGCACAGUCGGAGCCUCCGCGGGACCCAGCGACACCCGAGCCGCCCCGGGAGGGUUCAUGCAGCUGCAAGCUCACCGAGCGCCAUGGCCAGAGCACCGCAGGAGGGGAGCCGCGCUCAGCCGACAGCCGCCCUGCCAGGGGACCCAGCCUUCCUGCUGGGGGGGGCGGUGGCCGUGCCGCCCGCCGUCUGCCCGGGCAGCCUCGCCCUGCCACCCCGGCUGAACUGCAGCCUGUGCCCCAACGGCCCCACUCCCUGCUCGCUCUACCGCUGUGUCCGGGGGCCGGAGCCCCCCCGGCGCUGGGACGCCCCCGAGGCUGGCAGGACACAUGGAGAGCUCCAGCCCAUGCAGGAUGAGGGGCCCAACAGGGAGCAGCCCCCCACCGAGCCAGCCCCAGAGGGUGCAGUGUCCAACGGCGGCCUCCCUGGGGAGCCCCUGGACCCGGAGCAUGCACUGGGGGCCCAGCUGCGGCGUAUGGGCGACGCCUUCCACCAGGCCCACGAGAGGCAGUGGCAGGAGCGACAGGGAGCGCUCUGGGCCCGUUUCUGCCACUACCUCUCUCAGCUGCUGGGUGCCUUCUACAACAUGCCCCUGGAUGUGAUGCCUGAGCUGCAGCCGAACUAGCCCCUUGCAGGUCGGAGCCGGGGGGGAGGGGAGGGACCAGCCCCCCCAGCGUGGACUGCAGAGCCUCUUGGCAAAAUGUAGCAACUUCCAGAGCUCAUACCACCCUCGCCCCCCGGGCGAGCCAUGGCUCCUGCGGGCUGGGCCCCAGGCUGCUGCCCGACUAUAGGCACCCACUGUCUAUUUAUUUAUUUAUUUUCGAGUACUGACUGGGACCCCCGCACUGCAGGGCCCCAUGGCGGGGAGCAGCCUCCCCCCACUGUUCCUCAGGGAGCCCCACGCAGUUGUGGCGGGGGGCAGACACGCAUGUGACAGCCCCAGGCAUUGCCUCUGCCUCACCCCCGACUCCCCUCGGGACAGCGGGAAGAGCUGGACUCCGGCAGCAGCAGGGAGGGCGAACUCUGAAGUGGGCUCAGCCAGCCGUCCUGCUGCUUCCUCGCCAUGCCGCUGGGCAGCCUGAGGGGGGGGGACCCUGCCUGCCCCGUUGCCUCCCCACGCACAACUUGCUGCUGCGGCUCGGGGCAUGGCCAGCCCUGAGCCCAGCACUGCGCCCAGAUCAGGGCAGGGGGGGCCUAGCAGGGGCGGCUGGAGCACUGUACAUACUGUACAUAGUGACACUGUACAGACACUGGGCCACGCUGUACAUAGGGGGACAUUGUACAUACGGGGACACGCUUGCUGUACAUGAGCAGUGACUUUGGUUUUCUACGUUUCCUUUUCAAUAAAACUGGAUUUAAGCAAAGAGGCGUCUGCGUC
rnacentral:lncRNA from 1 species